AUGGUAUGUAAUAACUGGGCGUACCUUUCCCAAAGUCAAACAAUCAACAAAGUCAAACAAUUUAAAGUCUUCCUAUCUGAUUUCACAGCAAGGAAACAGGGUUCCCCUUCUUCCUUAAGCCUCAUGCAUCAGGGUUAUAGAUCAGUGGCUUAUGUCAGAUCUAACUGGUACAAAGACCACGUGUGGGGGAAGAAGAGUUUCACUCCUUAACACUGGUCUGCAUCUCUACCUGCCUCUUUAGGGAUGCCUUUCUGACAGACUGAAGACUGUCCUUCCUGAAAAGGAGAAGAACAGGGUGAAAGUGGGAUGAUGAUAAACCAUUGGGGACUGCAGAGUUAUCUAGCUCAUUCUCAUUUUUACACUGCUGCCCCCAGUACUCAGAUUUGGUAAUGUUAUGGUUGCUCAGGCAUCUUUGUGCUAUAUUGCAGUCACUCCUGAGUAUUUGGAUUCAUUUGUCAAAGGCUAAUGUGAUAGAGAAGCCCAUGAAGUAUAAAGAAAAACAUCAGCUGUACAUCGACUGUACAUAAACCAUAUUUGUCAUUUUGGUGGCUGCAUUAUAUUAGCGGGUAUACCAAUCACAUCUCUCAGAUUUUUCUUCUCACUAUUUAUUAUUUCAAAUUAGUAAAUUCCCACCAUUGGCUUAAAUGCAGGACCUUGCACUUCAAACUAUCCACUGUCACAACAAGAGGCUUAAAAUAGUACGAGAGUGGUUGGAUUAGGCCAGUACUUUAUCAUGUUCUUUCCACUUGAAGACUUCCUCUUUAAGCAGCUGUGUCUAGGUCUUGUCUCACUUCUGGGUACAUGAAGCAAUCUCCAAAAACUUGAACUAAAUCUAAGUCUAAAUUGUCCAAAAUGCAGUACUAAUUUUGUUUGCACUGAAAAUAUUUUAAUAGCAGAACUUAAAGGAAAAAAUAAUCCACAGAUGACGUAAGAGGAAUAUGUAUCCAUCUAUUCUAAUAAUGGCAUUCUUUUUAUCAAACUUUAGUCAUUUAAGUCUGAGCUAGUUGUGUUGGUUCCCUAUACAACUGCCAGAGAGACAAUGGCACCUCUCCAGGACAAUGUAUCACUCAUGUUUUAGGCACUUGUUUUAGGAUCCAGUGAAGUGUUUCCUAUCAGUGCCUGCUUCUUCCUUUCCACCGAUUAUCAAAUGAAACCGCAUGAGCAGAAUAGCCCCAAAGGAUACAGUUAAAAUCAGGUGAAACGAGGCUUUCUUUACUGUGUAUCAAAAUUAAAAACAAUAUUCCCGUCAGUGACUGAAAUGGCUGGGUACACGAAGGACAAUGUGCUGCACUUUUCUGAAAAUUAUGCAUAGAUAUUAGCACUUUUCUGACCAUUAUAACAAGAGUGGAUUUCGUGUUCCUGUUUCCGUUUGACCACCAGCUCUAAUAUAACCCAUGCCAUGAGACAAAUUUCAGCAUUGAUAGAAAAACACAGGAUGUUUGAAACAUAUUUUUUUUUCCAGAAGCACAUGUUUUCGAGAAUGUUCCUUACAAGCAUUGCUGUAAUUCCAAGCAGGAACAAGAGUAAGUUUGGUAAUUCUGAUUUCCUACAAGGGAGAGAUCUGAUCAACUGAUGUCGAAAAUGGCCCUCUGAGAUGGGAAAUUGCCUCUGGCCAAUCCUACAUUACCGUCUGUCCUUAUAUCAGACCGAUCCUGUUUUGUAACACCUCGCGCUGAAAAAAUAUGGUCUUUUAGCAGAUUGGUGGGGCUAAACAAUACUAUUGUUUUUGUGCUUGUUUGUCACACAAGGUCAUGGAGAGAGAUUGGGAGUUCCUGAGAACAGGAGGAGCUCUGGAACAAAUUAAAACUAGAAUUUCUAAAAAGGAAGGAAUUUGAUGGGAAGGGCCAAGACAGAAGGAUUAAUUAGAUUCAAGAAGGUAUGCUGACUUUCAAGUAGUCUGGCCUGGAAAUAAAACAGACAAGGAAGUGAGAAAGAAUAGAAAA
rnacentral:lncRNA from 1 species